CCGUGCUAAUUUGAAUAACCUCACCAGUCUGCCAUCACACUGCCUUCUUUGCCCAGUGACUAGAUUAGAUCUGCAAGAGCAUUGAUUCUUGGAGAGAACUUCAGGCCAGACCCACUCCCCGUGAUCAGCAGUAGGAUUGGUGAUCGAACCAGCUGGUGGCCCCCAUAAGAAGCAUGAGACCAUUCACGACAAGGGAUUUCAGGACCCCAGCACCUGUACCUGGACUUCAGGUGACUUGUGAUACUCCUCCUGGGUGGUUACUAAGCUUACAGAGGUCAGAAGUACAAAAGGCCUUGGCCCCAGUGGAAGAACGUGAGAAAAGCCCAGAAACCUGCCCCCCAUGAAACUCCUGGGUGGCAGAAGGAUUCGAAAUGGGUGUGCAGGUGGAGCCACCAGCACCCUGAGGGAACUGAUUGCUGGCUGAAGAAUACUCACUAGUUCGGAUUGGGUUCCCUUUGCCAGUACGAAUUCCCUGAGGGGUUUGGGUGGCUUAAUCAAGCAAAUUAAAAUAAUCUAAUAGGGCUUGCCACUUGAUAAGUGAAAGUAAUUACUCAUCUGCUCCCUGUUGGCUUGAUUAUUAUUGUUAUUUUAAAUGGAAUUCCCCUUUUGGUAUGAGUGACUGAGGUGACAUGGAAAUGUUAAAUAAAACCUUAUAUAUAAAACAA